UACAGAGGUCCCGAGCGUUGUUCGGAUUCACUGGGCGUAAAGGGCGCGUAGGCGGCCAGCGCAAGUCAGUUGUGAAAUCUCCGGGCUUAACUCGGAACGGUCAACUGAUACUGCGCGGCUAGAGUGCAGAAGGGGCAACUGGAAUUCUCGGUGUAGCGGUGAAAUGCGUAGAUAUCGAGAGGAACACCUGCGGCGAAGGCGGGUUGCUGGGCUGACACUGACUGAUGCGCGAAAGCCAGGGGAGCGAACGGGG
rnacentral:rRNA from 1 species